rnacentral:rRNA from 1 species
UACGUAGGGUGCGAGCGUUAAUCGGAAUUACUGGGCGUAAAGCGUGCGCAGGCGGUUAUGUAAGACAGAUGUGAAAUGCCCGGGCUUAACCUGGGAACUGCAUUUGUGACUGCAUGGCUAGAGUUUGGCAGAGGGGGGUAGAAUUCCACGUGUAGCAGUGAAAUGCGUAGAUAUGUGGAGGAACACCGAUGGCGAAGGCAGCCCCCCUGGGUCAAGACUGACGCUCAUGCACGAAAGCGUGGGGAGCAAACAGG